rnacentral:rRNA from 1 species
GGGCCCGCACAAGCGGUGGAGCAUGUGGUUUAAUUCGAUGCAACGCGAAGAACCUUACCUACACUUGACAUACAGAGAACUUACCAGAGAUGGUUUGGUGCCUUCGGGAACUCUAAUACAGGUGCUGCAUGGCUGUCGUCAGCUCGUGUUGUGAGAUGUUGGUUAAGUCCCGCAACGAGCGCAACCCCUAUCCUUAGUUGCUAGCAGGUAAUGCUGAGAACUCUAAGGAGACUGCCGGUGAUAAACCGGAGGAAGGUGGGGACGACGUCAAGUCAUCAUGGCCCUUACGUGUAGGGCUACACACGUGCUACAAUGGCGCAUACAGAGUGCUGCGAACUCGCGAGGGUAAGCGAA